rnacentral:rRNA from 1 species
UACGUAGGGUGCAAGCGUUGUCCGGAAUUAUUGGGCGUAAAGAGCUCGUAGGCGGUUUGUCGCGUCUGCUGUGAAAACUCGGGGCUUAACUCCGGGCCUGCAGUGGGUACGGGCAGACUAGAGUGCGGUAGGGGAGACUGGAAUUCCUGGUGUAGCGGUGAAAUGCGCAGAUAUCAGGAGGAACACCUGUGGCGAAGGCGGGUCUCUGGGCCGUAACUGACGCUGAGGAGCGAAAGCGUGGGGAGCGAACAGG